UGUAGUCUGCAACCCGACUACAUGAAGCUGGAAUCGCUAGUAAUCGCGGAUCAGAAUGCCGCGGUGAAUACGUUCCCGGGUCUUGUACACACCGCCCGUCACACCAUGGGAGUCGGAAAUGCCCGAAGCCGGUGACUCAACCUGCAAAGGAGAGAGCCGUCGAAGGCAGGUCUGAUAACUGGGGUGAAGUCGUAACAAGGUAAC
rnacentral:rRNA from 1 species